ACAGGAUAGUUACAGGGAGCGCAGCAGGAUAUGCGCUGAACAGUUGGCAACACUGAACUCCAUAAGCGAAAAAAAAAUUAUGAAAAAUGACCUAACCUACCGCUACGAAAAUAUUAUCUUUUUCGCUUGAUUGAUGGAUGGACCGAAAGAUUUAUAUUAAAAUUAUCAACAAACAAGUUCUGGUAUUAAAGCAAUGUGGCCUAUACUUUACACAUUAGUGCGGGGAUCUUACAGAUAUGUACCCUAUAUAACUUUACCAUUCGCUGGAAUUAUAGGAUUCAUAGGAUAUAAUUUAGAAAAUAUUUUAUCAGACAAAUAUACACCCUAUAACAAGUCUAUAGAAGAGCAGCGGAAAGAACGACUGCUGGCUGAUGAAAAAUUACAAAAUGCAGAUAAUAUAGAUAAACCUAAAUAUAGCAAUAACGUAUUACAUCAAAAUUUAUCCCCAUCGUUAUCAUAAUUGCGAAAUAUAGAAUAAAAUAUAGAAAUUGUAGUUAAUAUAAUUAUUUAUCUAGUUAAUUAGUCAAUUUAUAAACUCAUAUAUUUCUAAAUUUAAUUUAAAUCUUUUAAAUUAAAAUAGAUAUAUAUUUUAUGUUCAUGAAGAGUUUGUCUUAAGCAUCAAACUUAAUGUGAUAUUAAUAUCAAUAAUAUAUGUAUACUGGAUGG
rnacentral:lncRNA from 1 species